GAACGUCGUGAGACAGUUCGGUCCCUAUCUGCCGUGGACGUUGGAGAUUUGAGGAAAGCUGCUCCUAGUACGAGAGGACCGGAGUGGACGAACCGCUGGUGUUCGGGUUGUGUCGCCAGACGCAUUGCCCGGUAGCUAUGUUCGGACAGGAUAACCGCUGAAAGCAUCUAAGCGGGAAGCCCCUUCCAAGAUGAGAUCUCCCUGAGGCCUUGAGCCUCCUGAAGAGCCGUUCAAGACCAGGACGUUGAUAGGCUGGGUGUGUAAGCGCUGUGAGGCGUUGAGCUAACCAGUACUAAUUGCUCGUGCGGCUUGAC
rnacentral:rRNA from 1 species